rnacentral:rRNA from 1 species
GACGAACGCUGGCGGCGUGCUUAACACAUGCAAGUCGAACGGAAAGGCCCUGCAUUUGUGGGGUGCUCGAGUGGCGAACGGGUGAGUAACACGUGAGUAACCUGCCCUUGACUUUGGGAUAACUUCAGGAAACUGGGGCGAAUACCGGAUAGGAGCUCCUGCUGCAUGGUGGGGGUUGGAAAGUUUCGGCGGUUGGGGAUGGACUCGCGGCUUAUCAGCUUGUUGGUGGGGUAGUGGCUUACCAAGGCUUUGACGGGUAGCCGGCCUGAGAGGGUGACCGGCCACAUUGGGACUGAGAUACGGCCCAGACUCCUACGGGAGGCAGCAGUGGGGAAUAUUGCACAAUGGGCGGAAGCCUGAUGCAGCAACGCCGCGUGCGGGAUGACGGCCUUCGGGUUGUAAACCGCUUUCGCCUGUGACGAAGCGUGAGUGACGGUAAUGGGUAAAGAAGCACCGGCUAACUACGUG